rnacentral:rRNA from 1 species
UACGGGGGGGGGCAAGCGUUGUUCGGAAUUACUGGGCGUAAAGGGCUCGUAGGUGGCCAACUAAGUCAGACGUGAAAUCCCUCAGCUUAACUGGGGAACUGCGUCUGAUACUGGAUGGCUUGAGUUUGGGAGAGGGAUGCGGAAUUCCAGGUGUAGCGGUGAAAUGCGUAGAUAUCAGGAGGAACACCUGUGGUGUAGACGGCUCUCUGGACCGCAACUGACGCUGAGACACGAAAGCGUGGGUAGCAAACAGG